rnacentral:miRNA from 1 species
UGGCACUUCUGGUCUCAGACUCA